UUGGACCUUGAAAACAAAGACCGUGAUCGGAUCACAACUUUCAGGGUCAAUCAUGAGGAGGAUAACGUGGCCAAUGGCCAUGCGCAAUUAGUUUCAGCUACGUCUUUGCAGUUCACAUGCAGGGAGCAGCGAAUGACAUAGAACAUGGAGCUAAGCAACAUUUGAAGUGGUGUGACCGAACGAGGUGACGAAGAGAACACGGGAUUUUGGAGUCGGUCCUGCAUUCCACAGAAACAUGGAGGCGAAGCGUGUUACAAACAGCAGAUCCUUGGAGCACGAAUACGUCCAACAAUUUAGACUAUUAUGUACACAAAAUAGACGCGUUUAUGGCUGAUCGUGUCUGUCUAUCCGUAUGUUUAAACUCGAGAACUACUGGACAGAUUUUGAUUAAAUUUGGUAUGGGCAUUAUGCCACAGAAGAA